CCUACGGGAGGCAGCAGUAGGGAAUAUUGGGCAAUGGACGCAAGUCUGACCCAGCCAUGCCGCGUGCAGGAAGAAGGCGUUAUGCGUUGUAAACUGCUUUUAUACAGGAAGAAACGACUCUUGCGAGAGGCAUUGACGGUACUGUAUGAAUAAGCACCGGCUAACUCCGUGCCAGCAGCCGCGGUAAUACGGAGGGUGCAAGCGUUGUCCGGAUUUAUUGGGUUUAAAGGGUGCGCAGGUGGUUUAUUAAGUCAGUGGUGAAAGACGGUCGCUCAGCGAUUGCAGUGCCAUUGAAACUGGUAGACUUGAGUAAAGUAGAGGUGGGCGGAAUUGAUAGUGUAGCGGUGAAAUGCAUAGAUAUUAUCAAGAACUCCAAUUGCGAAGGCAGCUCACUUGGCUUUUACUGACACUCAUGCACGAAAGUGUGGGUAUCAAACAGGAUUAGAUACCCUGGUAGUCCACACUGUAAGCGAUGAUAACUAGGUGUCGGCCGAAUCUGGUCGGUGCCACAGCGAAAGCGUUAAGUUAUCCACCUGGGGAGUACGCCGGCGACGGUGAAACGUUAAAGGAAUUGACGG
rnacentral:rRNA from 1 species